rnacentral:tRNA from 1 species
GCCUGGGUAGCUCAGUGGUUGAGCAUCUGCCUUCGGUUCAGGUCAUGAUCCUCAGGUCCUGGGAUCAAGUCCCGCCUCGAGCU